rnacentral:rRNA from 1 species
CUCACCGCGUCAUUCUCUCAGCAGCCCGGCGACAACCCAGACUUCCGGACGCUCCUCAAGAUCAAGGAGCAGUUCGGCGACCAGGCCGCGCUGGUGUCCUUGCUGCCCGGCACCGACCAGUGCAACUGGCCGUACGCCCACUGCAACCAGGACCGCCGCGUCGUCGCCAUCUUCCUCCAGAACGUCAACAUCACCUCCACGAUCCCACCGGCCAUCGGCGACCUCGACCAGCUCCACACCAUCAGCAUCCACAGCAUCCCGGGCCUCCAUGGCCCCAUCCCGGACACGUUCGGCAAACUCUCGCACCUCUCCAUCUUCAACAUCAUGCGCACCUCCGUCUCGGGCUCCCUGCCGGCGUCGCUCUCCCGCACGAACCUCACCUCCGUCAGCUUCUUCAGCAACAAGCUGACCGGAAGAAUCCCCAGGUCGCUCCAGGACCUGCCUUACCUGACCUACUUCGACGCCUCGAACAACCGCCUGGUCGGCCGGAUCCCGCCGCGGCUGGUGAGCAACGGCGCGCCCGACAGGCCGCUCGGCCUGACGCUGACAAACAACCGGCUGACGGGGCCGAUCCCCCGGACGUACGCGCGCGAGAGGUACUUCAUGAACUUCCGGGUGGCCAACAACAUGCUCACUGGGGACGCGGCGUUCCUGUUCGGCCGGCGGAACAGGGUAUACGACGUCGACCUGUCCGGGAACAGGCUGCGGUUCAACCUGACCGGCGUGGUGAUGCCAGAGAACCUGCUGUUCCUCAACAUGAGCCGCGACCGGAUCUACGGCGGCGUGCCGGCGUCGCUGGCGCAGUUGAAGAAGUUGACCACGCUCGACCUCAGCUACAACCAGCUCUGCGGGGAGAUACCCACCGGCGGGAACAUGGGUCGGUUCAAGCCGGAGGCCUACGAGCACAACAAGUGCCUGUGCGGGACCCCGUUGCCGGCGUGCUAG